rnacentral:tRNA from 1 species
UCCGGUGUAAUAUAAUGGUAGUAUAUCUGCUUGCCAAGCAGAACGCGCGAGUUCGAUUCUCGUCACCGGGAC